UACAGAGGUCUCAAGCGUUGUUCGGAUUCAUUGGGCGUAAAGCGCGCGUAGGCGGCUCGAUCAGUCUGUUGUGAAAGUCAAAGGCUCAACCUUUGAAUGCCGAUGAUACUGUCGAGCUAGAGUCCGGAAGAGGCGGGUGGAAUUCCUGGUGUAGCGGUGGAAUGCGCAGAUAUCAGGAGGAACACCGGUGGCGAAGGCGGGCAUCCUGG
rnacentral:rRNA from 1 species